UACGGAGGGUGCAAGCGUUGUCCGGAAUCACUGGGCGUAAAGGGCGCGUAGGCGGCUUGAUAAGUCACUUGUGAAAUCCCGUUGCUCAACGACGGGGCCGCAGGUGAGACUGUCUGGCUGGAGCUUGGUAGGGGCGAGUGGAAUUCCCGGUGUAGUGGUGAAAUGCGUAGAUAUCGGGAGGAACACCAGUGGCGAAGGCGGCUUUCUGGCCUGUUCUUGACGCUGAGGCGCGAAAGCUAGGGUAGCAAACGGG
rnacentral:rRNA from 1 species